CGUUUUUUGAUUAUAAUUUAAGAUUUAUUCUGCUCAAUGAAAAUUUAAAUAGCCGCAGUAUUUUAACUGUGCAAAGGUAGCAUAAUAAUUUGUUUAUUAAUUGUAAACUGGAAUGAAAGAAUAGAUAAAAUAUUUACUUUAUUAAUAUUAUAAAUAUAAAGUUAAUUUUUUAGUAAAAAAGCUAAAAUUUUUUAUUGGGACGAGAAGACCCUAUAGAAUUUUAUAUUAUAAUGAAUAUUUUAAAUUAAUAUAUUUUUAUAUAUUUAUUAUAUUAAUUUAUUGGGAGGAUAAUUAAAUUUUUAAACUUUAAUAUAAUUAACCAAAGAUAAGUGAAGAUUUGAUUUUAUAUAUAAAAUUUUAGGAAAAUUACCUUAGGGAUAACAGUGUAAUAUUUUUAGAAAGUUCUUAUUGAUAAAAAUGUUUAUAACCUCGAUGUUGAAUUUAGAUUAAUUUAAAUAGAAGUUUGUUUAAAUUUUAGUCUGUUCGACUAUUAAAAUCUAACAU
rnacentral:rRNA from 1 species